CACAACGACAGCAAACCGGAUUUAUUAAUAUUUAUUUGUGUCCUGGCAAUAUCACAAGAACCAUUACUGAUGAAUGGUGAAAGUGAAAAUCGUCAAUAUCAAAUUUGACCUCCAUUUUGUCAUCAGUAUCAACAUCUUAAAAUUUGAAAAGCUUAGAUUGAAUGGUUCAUGAGUAAAUGCAACAACGUGAAUUGAAACGCCAUUUCACAAUCUUUCAAGAACCAUAACUCCUGAACGGUAAAAGUCAAAAUCGUCAUUAUUGAACUUGACCUCUAAUUUGCCAUCAGUAACAACAUAUAAAAAUUUCAAAAGCUUUGGUUGAAUGGUUCAUGAGAAAAUGCACGGACACGACUGGAAACACCAUUUUUCAAUCUUUCAAGAACCAUAACUCCUGAACGGUAAAAGUCAAAAUCGUCAUUAUUGAACUUGACCUCUAUUUUGUCAUCAGUAACAACAUAUUAAAAUUUGGGAAGCUUUGGUAAAACAGUUCAUGCAUAAAUGCACGGACACGACUGGAAACACCAUUUUUCAAUCUUUCAAGAACCAUAACUCCUGAACGGUAAAAGUCAAAAUCGCCAUUAUUGAACUUGACCUCCAUUUUGUCAUCAGUAACAACAUAUUAAAAUUUGGGAAGCUUAGGUAGAACAGUUCAUGCGUAAAUGCACG
rnacentral:lncRNA from 1 species